rnacentral:tRNA from 1 species
GUAGUGAUACGGAACGGUACGUAACCAGCGAACUUCUCAUCCGAUGGCCGCAGGUUCGAAUCCUGCCGGGUGCGCCA